ACCGCAACUGGGACUCUGGAGCAGCUCCAGAGGAGCGCCACGAAGUUGAUAAGAGGAGCACUUCACGUUGAGUCCUGUGUGCAGUGUUGAGCACCACAGUAUAAGAAAGACCAGGACCAUCAGAAAGCCUGAAAUAAGAAACUUUGGGAACGUGAAGUGUGUGCAUUAGAGAGGAAUCUACUCCAUAAGUAGAUGGAGACUGCCAGUGGCUGCUGGAUCUUUCCUUCUCUAGACACGUAUGUGACACUUCAGCAACUUUUGCCUGACAUACAUCUGGUUUUCUGGAGCCCCUUAUCCUGAGGGAUCUACUGGACCUUGAGAUGCCCUUCAGGUAUUAGAUACCACUGUGUGACUUCCAAGGUAACCCAGGAGAUCUUUCUUUCUGAAAUGCAGAGACAUCAUAAACAAAAUAAACACGACUUGGACUGCAAACAGCUAUGGAUGAAUUAAUAUUUUCUGCCUCCUGAAUGUGCUACAGGAGAUCUCUGCAUUGGAAGUGAACCUUGCACUGUCUGAAUAUGCACGGGGCGCUCUGAGCUAUCUCCAGCAACGCUAGCCACCAGGCAAAACAUGUUUUCUCGACUUAUUGCCACUCAUUUGUUUAACUUCACCGCCACCUGCUGUCAAGGAAGGGAAGCUGGCCUGCAGGCUGGGAAAUAGCUGUGAUGUGCCCAGUCUCUCCUAUGAAAUGAGUGGAUGCUCUCCUGAGAACAUCCACUCUUCUGCACAACCACUCAGCAUAUGUGGAGGCAGACUUCAUAAACUGAAGUAUCUUCAGAACUGGCUCAACAUUUGAAGUUCUGCCUCUUGGAAAGUUCAUGGAAAAUUACUGGUACCUGGUAGUUCUAGCUUACUGCAUGGCACGAAAGCCACUGCUUUCCUUCUCACUUUGGAACUCCCAGUUCACUUUGUCUUCCUGAAAGCAGGCUUGGCUGUUCUGUCUCUCACAGACCAGCACAGACCUGUUUUCUCUGAGCCACUAUGAAACAUGCUGCUUCACUUCAUACACACUUCCAGAAAUAAAGGCAGGUGAAUCCUGAUGUGAUGUUCUGAUAGAGCAUAUGCACUCAAUUCAUCCUACUUUCUAAAUCAAAAAAUUGCAGGGGUUUUUUUGGCUAUGCAAAGGGAAGAGUAUAGUAGAUGGAUUGACUAGACGACAGCCAGUUAGGGAAGCAAAGACUGACAAAAAAGAAAAUGCACUGUCAGAUUUUUCUUUAAAUCUGCUGUAGAAAGGGAACUGGGAGACAGUUUCAUCAGAAGAGAUGAAGCCAGAGAAGUGGCUUUAAACUCAGUAGAACAGUAGGCAAGGUAAAAGGUUAAUUAUUCCUUUGGUGGAAGUUACAGUCCCUGAAUUAAUGGGAGCAACUGCAUCUUCCCCCAUGAAGCAGUUCCUGGAUUCAGUCAUUUCUGCUCCCCAUGGCUCCAGUUAUGGCAUUGCUCCAUUCUCACUGCUCCGCUUCCCACCAGCCCCAGGCUUCCCAAAGUGGAAGGAAUUAAUUUCUGCUGAGUCCAUCUGUGGGAAAUGGAAGAGUUUCACAGCAUGGCUUUUUGGUUUACAAAGUCUGAGUAAGAGAAGCAAUGCAUCUCUGCAGCUACAGGGCAUCAUAGCCUGGGGUAUGGUAAGUUGGCAGAGCAAGGCCAAGAGAUGGGCAACUGGAAGAGGUUAUAUUCCCUCACAGAGAUAGAUUUAGGAGACAGAAUGUAGCUGCACAUCUGUUUUUCAUACUAAGUAAAACUAAUAUGGAUCCCAAGAAAGAAGGCAGCAGCAACGGGCAGCAGAGCUUGCUGGAGUUAACACUUGCUUUGUGAAUGAGCUGUGACUUUAAUAGCCAUUCCAAACAAACUACACUGGACAGCAUAUGGCAUAUCCCAGGUAUUUGUGUACCUGUAGGAACAUUCCUCCUAAUUUUAAAAUCAUGGAAGUUACAAGGCAUCCUUUUCCACCUUUUUUUUCUAGAAGGCAUAGUUCCUGAUAAGAGGGCAUGCUUUGGGGAUAAGCAGUAUAACUCCAGACAUAUUACUUCCAGCCUUUCAAAAUCACAAGGAUAUGAACUACUGGAGACAGUGAAGAAAUUGCUAGGAGAAUUCUGCAACAAAAGACUUCAUUAGCCUUGAACUGUAAAAAAAUCCAGCACAGUCACAGGAGUCAGCCAUACUGCUGCUUUUGAGGUGACUGAUAAGAAAAGUGCUGACAAUCUUAGAGGUAAAUCUUUCUCCUGAGUGGCCCUGCAUAAAGGAUGUGAAGUUGCAUAAUAAGGCAUUGAAAAUUCUUAUUUUUAUUAUGACCCUUGCAAUAUUUGAUGUUUGAUUAUAGCCCAGCUCCCAGAAUCAAGGGAUCAGGUGAAAGCUUCUGUUUUAAUUAAGAAACAAAGGUUUUCUUCAUUUUAUGGUUGCUGGAAAAAAAAAUUUCCAGGGGUGCAAAGCCCCCUCAAAUCAGAUGGAAAACCCUUCAUGUUGAUAUAUGAUUUAGGUAUAUUAAAUCACCUGAUAUAGGUUGAUUACAUUGUUUGUGGAGAUUGAAUUUUUAAUGUUCAUUGUUUAAUAACAUUAAGGAUAAUAAACCCAAGUGAAGGUUUCUUUUUUAAAUGACCCAUGCUUUUAUUAGCAACAAAACAGCUUCAGGGAGACCUGAGCUCAGGUCAAUUGAUUGCUUUGUGAUAGCACUUGUGAAGGAACAAAAAGCAGGUAAGACUGAUAGCUGAUGUUGGAAUUGUCUCUUUCUGGUAAAUGACAUUAGAUCUUUGGCAAGAGUGGAUGCAGAUACACGAAUCUGAAAGCAAGAACCCCACCAAAGGUGACUCAAUACAAAUGUUUCUGGCCACAGUGGGCACCUGGUCGUGCUGUUGUAAAGGACAGAAAGCUGCCACGAUUUGGGCAGGCUGCUUAUUGUUUCUGCACAAGGCAGCUUCUUCCAAGUGGAAGGUGGAAACUGGGUCUUGUUUUGUUUUUUAACUUCUUGUGCUUUAAGAAGCCUUAGAAAUCAUAUAAAUUGAAAGCUAAAGCUUUUGAAGAUGUAACUUUAUCCUCCCUCAUUCUCUUGGGCAAUAAUGGAUCUGUUUUCAAGUCACCGUUUAGUAUGAGUGAUUUUCUCCAACUCAUCAACCAUUGCAAACUUCCUGAAUAUUCCUCACUGCACAAAGCACUAGAAUUACCAGUUGGGUAUUUCUGCUACAGCACAAUGAACAUGGAAACGAACUCAACAUUUCUACUCAGCAUCACAGGCUGAAUGAAGAUUCCUCAGGCCACUGUUGUGAGAUGCUGGAAAGAAGCACAACAUAUCACUUUUCCUUCAUGGUAAUCAUGAGAUGCUCUGUGCUGACUUACUCAGAUAGGCUACUCAGUUUUAGGCUAGGUGACAUUCUGAUGAUUAUCUUUACAUUUUGGAGAUGUAAUGCUGUAUUAUCUUAUUAAAUAAAAUAUUAAAUCAAUAUUAUGU